rnacentral:rRNA from 1 species
GACGAACGCUGGCGGCGUGCUUAACACACGCAAGUCGAACGGAAAGGCCCUGCUUUUGUGGGGUGCUCGAGUGGCGAACGGGUGAGUAACACGUGAGUAACCUGCCCUUGACUUUGGGAUAACUUCAGGAAACUGGGGCUAAUACCGGAUAGGAGCUCCUGCUGCAUGGUGGGGGUUGGAAAGUUUCGGCGGUUGGGGAUGGACUCGCGGCUUAUCAGCUUGUUGGUGGGGUAGUGGCUUACCAAGGCUUUGACGGGUAGCCGGCCUGAGAGGGUGACCGGCCACAUUGGGACUGAGAUACGGCCCAGACUCCUACAGGAGGCAGCAGUGGGGAAUAUUGCACAAUGGGCGGAAGCCUGAUGCAGCAACGCCGCGUGCGGGAUGACGGCCUUCGGGUUGUAAACCGCUUUCGCCUGUGACGAAGCGUGAGUGACGGUAAUGGGUAAAGAAGCACCGGCUAACUACGUG